rnacentral:lncRNA from 1 species
CGCCAUUAUCGGACCAGAGGAAUUUCAAGGUCGCCAUUGCCGAGCAGCAUACUAUAUUGAUGAAUACGACCAUGUACAUGCAUAACAGACAUUGUGGCGAAUAUACAACGAUGAAGGUAGAGUUAUUACAUAAGAAAACAUAGAUUUCGAUAUAUUAGGCAGCCAAAUGUUAUCAGUAUAACGAAAAAUACAAACUUGGGGGUUGUCUCAAAAUACUCGCUACUGUUGAAAAUCACUGCGGCUGAAACCUUGCACCGGCUCAAUUUCUGUUCCAUGUUUAAUGUUAUAGAUCGUUAUAGCUGGUAUCUUAUUUAUGUGUUUAUUUUACCCUUUACAGACAAGUUGUAAACAUGUCUGGCCAGUUUUGAAAAAAUAUCCGUGUGCAAACGGCCGAAGAGGAAGGGAUGACAUCUACUAUGAAGCACUACAACUGUCAUUAUUACGCUACCGUUAGUGUCAAUGAAUUAGUCUUUUUUAAUCAUCAUUUGUAAUAUCUAAUUUCGUAGCCAAGUCAGGGUCAUAUGUAUGUGGGGUACCCCAUAACUUCCCUCGGAACAGUUUCUAUUCCUUAUAGGCUUAGCCCUCAGAGGCGGAUUUAGAGGGGGGCCCGGGCCCCCCCUUUUUGGGAAAAAAUUUGGUUGCUUAUAUAGGGAAUCAUUGAAGCGUACUAGCGGGCCCCCUCUUAGGUCAGUCAGUGGGCCCCCACUUAUGAAAAUUUCUGGAUCCGCCACUGGCCCUAACUAUAUUUCCCUUCCCUUUCUACCCUAAAAUCCCCCCCCCUUUUUUUUUACUUCAAUACUUCCAUCUCCUUGCUCCAAGACAAAAUAAAAAUGACAAAAUAUAUUUCCAAGAUACCCCCUUUUCUCUGAUCCCUCAUUCCCCUGUCUCCUUACCCUUGUCCACCCCUCAAUUAAGGUCCUCAAGGGGUUUGAUUUGUUUAUUUUCUUGAGAAUAUGAAAUAAUUGGCCUAAUUUGUAAAUGAUAAAACCUACACCUUAUUGAAGGAUUCGUCUUGAUCAAUCACAAUUUGUUUACCAUUAACCCCCCCCCCCCUAAUUCUGUUAGGUAUACAAAAAUGUCUUAAGGUCUAGUAAUAGAAGUAUCAGGGUUAAACAUGUACAGAGUGUGGCCAUAAGUAUUUGUCACUUGAGAUUUUUAGCUGUUCAUGUAUAUUGUAAAUAAAACUAGAUUUUUUCAAAAAAAAUUAUUUUGGAUUGAUUUUUAGCAUCCUGGUACCAAUAGAAGCAGUAUUAUCACAGGUUUAUUUUUUGGCUAUAUUUUUUUAUGUCUCAUUUUCAUUAUUUUCUGUUCAGAAAUUCGAUAUAUAUUCAACCAAAUUAAAUUAUAAAAAAAUAUUUUAUGUGUUCUCAAGGGAAAACAAAAACACAUGAAAACGAACCUAUUAUCAAAUAAACACAUAAUUAUUUAUACCAUUCUACUUCUUUUAAGGUUACCCUUGCAUUGUCAGUCUUAUCAAACUUGCAUGUACCUCCCAAAUUUGGUUUCUGUUCUCCAACUUCAGUUUGCCUCUACCAAUGUUAUGAAACUAAUACACAAUUAAUGCAUAUAUAUAUGAUACUACAAACAAACAAACAUGAAGUUUGAAUUUUUGGUGGGGUCGCUUUUACUGUUCUAGAGUUAUGCCCCUUUACAAAUUAAAAAAAAUGCUGAAUUUUUGUUCCUUUCUUUAACACAAGUUUGCUUCAUCCAAAUGUUCUGAAACUUAUAUGCAAUGCUUACUACAACAACACUCAGAUCAAGUACAAAUUUGGGUGGUGUCACUCUUUUCAUUCUUUAUAUGCAAGCGGCUGCUCAUCUGUGUCCCAUGGACACAUUACCUAUUAUGAACUAGUCUACAUCUAUAUGCUUUUGAAUGUCAAUAAUUGUUGAUUUUCUGACAGAAUUACUCUGAUAUUUAAUUUCAGGCUGCAAGUACAUUUGUACAUGUACAUUGCAAAUGGAAGGAGUGAUCUUGGAAUGUUCAACUUUACUUGGAAACUAUUGGCAAAGUACUGACAGAAUUUCAUGAGAAGCCAGUAUCAUAUUCUAGUCUUGCAACCGGAAACUAUGCGUAAAGUGCUGAAACUUAAGAACAACAUUCUACAUGUAUAUAUGCAAUAUGUGUUGCCACAAUCCACUUAAGGAGCUAAGAUCAACUAUAAAUUGGAACUACAUGUAUAUGCUUUAGUGCUGUCAAAAUCCUUUAAAAAAAAUCCAAUCAAAAGGACCUACUUCACCUAUAUAUAUUAGCUACCUGUCCCAAUGAUGAAUACAGAUCAUAUAUAUGAGUCUUAUAAAAAAAACAGUGAAGGAGAAUAAAAAUAAUGAAAAUAUAGAGCUGAUCAGCUAAUGAUUGUACAUGUACAUGAUGUAUAAAUGGCAACAAUUCUUACAUGUAUACUAGUACAUUGAAAUUAAUUAUAUUAAUAAUUUUUUUUAUAAAUUUGAUCUCAUAGAUAUUAGAGGAAUAAAAUCAAUCACGU